rnacentral:rRNA from 1 species
UAGUAAUCGCGGAUCAGCAUGCCGCGGUGAAUACGUUCCCUGGCCUUGUACACACCGCCCGUCACACCAUGGGAGCCGGUAAUACCCGAAGUCAGUAGCCUAACCGCAAGGGGGGCGCUGCCGAAGGUAGGAUUGGCGACUGGGGUGAAGUCGUAACAAGGUAUC